rnacentral:rRNA from 1 species
UGUCACAGCCAUGUCACCCUGCAGCCCAAGACUGGUUGCUCACUGAAGCUAAGCAGGGCUGAGCCUGGUCAGUACCUGGAUGGGAGACCACAUAGGAAAACUAGGUUGCUGUUGGUA